UGUCUCCUACGGGAGGCAGCAGUAGGGAAUCUUCCAUAAUGGACGAAAGUCUGAUGGAGCAACGCCGCGUGAGUGAAGAAGGGUUUCGGCUCGUAAAGCUCUGUUUGUAGUGAAGAAAGAUAGAGGUAGUAACUGGCCUUUAUUUUACGGUAAUUACUUAGAAAGUCACGGCUAACUACGUGCCAGCAGCCGCGGUAAUACGUAGGUGGCAAGCGUUGUCCGGAUUUAUUGGGCGUAAAG
rnacentral:rRNA from 1 species